CGACGCCAUAUUUAUUUUUCAUUCCAUCAUAAUCGUUUGCAGUUGUACGCAUUAUUAGCGUUUUAGCAGUAUGAGGCCUUCAAAAACAAGAACGCAGACCCGAUCGUUCUCAAAUCCGGAGAUUUUACGUGUGAUCCUAAACCAUCGGCAACUUUCAUCGCCACCAGCUGGCAAACAGGCAGACUCCAGUGCGACGGUCCCGCCUGUUGAUGACAGUGGCCGGAAAAGUAAGACCCUCCUGCGCGCACACGGUCACCUAUCUGGUAUGCACUUUUCGCAGUUUCGCAAUGACCUGUUGGCUACUGGUUUCCCACACUGCCUGCUGGCACAUCCAAAGAGGACAGACAGCUCCAUAUCAAACGCAGUAUUAGUUUUCGAUAUAUCAGCGAAGGGUGAAAACCGUUGGAUUCCAUCCUGCGAUCGAUUGCCUACUCUAUUAAAUUGUUGUGAGGUGGGCCCUAAGUUACCUACAGGAGUCAUUUGCGAAUUCAAUGCCACUCGGCUGGCUGCGGAAAAUAAUAUUUAGGAACUCGAGGACCUUGUCAGUUGGGCAGACGCUGAAAUUUGAUUGAUAAGUUUGGCAUUUAUACAAGCUAUUCCACGUCGGCAUGUGUGAUACUAAGAUAUCGUAGUACAUAUUUGGAAGUAACGGGCAAGGAAGGAAGGUCAAGAGGACAGUACAUAAUUCUUUCGGGAACUCAAAUGGCUGCGGUACCCAAGGCGUCUGUGCCGAGGCUAGCAGCAGCUGAUGCACACUGCCCAUGACAAUUAUAUACUAUUAUGAGUUAAUUUCAUGCAAUUUAAUUAUAUAUAUUUUCAAGAUACAGAUCCGGUAGGACCAAGGGUAGGACAGAUAUGAUAUAAAGAAGAGAGACAUGAAAUUUAUAAAACUAUUAUUUAUUACGUUGAAAAAAA